AGCUAACGUAGCAUCAAGCUAAUGUGUUGAGUUUCAUGUAAACAGCUGGUGCGUUGUGUUCCUGUAAUGUAGUUCAUUAAGUUCAUAAAACUGUGGCUGGUUGACAUUAAUGUAACGUUCAGGAAACUUAAAUGUGAUUAAAACAGUAACGUUAAUGUUCUAGUUGUCAGUAAUCAGCUUUAAUUUGACACUAAAACAGACUCUGAUAGUUUUAAAUGACAUCAGUUUCAUUAAUUUGUUGAAAACUGUCUCAUUUGUUGUUGUGAUGUUGCUGCUGAUUCAUUAAAAGCAGAUGAUCCAUGUUGAAGAUACGUUUAGUUCUAGUAUCACAAGUACAAGAAGGAAAAUGGAAGUUUAGUUCUGCUACAUCAAAGAUUUCAGGAUUAAAACAACUAAAUGAGUCUUUAUGCCUCAAACUUUAUUUUUACAAUAAAGAAAUAAUGAAAUAAUCACAGAUAAUAAAAAUAUAAAUAGCAGAGAAAACCUGAGAGAAUAAUUUCCUGAAAAGCCUGUGAAGGAAAAGCAGCUUUUUUAUCCUGAAAGAUCAGAAUCAGCUCCAACAUCUGCAUCUGACAGCAUCAAGUGAACCACAAAGAAAAGAUAAAAGUGAAAAUGACUUCUUUCUGAUCACAUCUGUUCCGCUGCUCACAGGCUGCUGCUGCUCACAUUCUUCACAUUUAUAGUCCACUUUUAAAAGUUCAGCAGACAGGUGCUCUGCUUUGGAUUGUGACGAUGUCGUCGGUGAUGUGGAGAGUGAAGUUUCCGUUUCACCCACAGUUCUUUAGUGCAGCCGGGUCAGACUUAAUGUUUGAAAUACUGACCGACAGCUCAGAUUUAACUGUCUGUAGUUCCGUUUUGAUGGGUGUUAAACUUUCACUCAAAGCCACCAGGAGCUGGGUCUUUAAAAUAACUGCCGUCUCGUUACAGAGUGAAGGUAGCAGUUCUUCCUUAAGGUCAGAGAUUGCAGCAUCUGAGGGCCUCUUCAAAAGAAGACAUAGUUGAUGAAGGUGUUCUGGAGCAGAACCAGAAAGACCACGACCAAGCAGCCGUGAGAUCUUAGGCAGCGUCUCCCUCAGGUCCCUCUCUAUCUCCCCACACAUCCACCAACCACUGGAACACAUCUCCAAAGUUCUGCUGCCAGCUCAGCUUCCCCUCAGAAGAAGUGCUGCCACCUGCCAGAUGAAGGAGCCUUUUGAGAGGCAGCUGGCAUCGUGAUUGGACUGUACUUUGGUCUGUUCCAAUCCAGCUUCAGCUCCAGAGACGGCAGGCGGGACGAGUCAACGGAGGCCUGGUGGACGAAGGCAUGCAGCUGAGUACAAUCCAGAAAACAACAGAGGAGGAGUGCAGUGGCCCAGGGCCAGAACAAACAGAGUAGCAUCGUAUGUCUCUUAGAAAACAUCAUAGUAUAGCCUUUGGUAUGAAAAAACACCAUCAUAUACAUCGUAUAUUGUACAAAUAACAAGUCAAAGGAAAGAGACAUACAUUGUAGAAUUGUAGUAAUUGUGGGCUGACUGAUUUACUGAUUAUCAGUAUUUUGUUUUUUACCGAUUUACGGUAAUAAAUACAUUUAAAAAUGG